AUUGAACGCUGGCGGCAUGCUUUACACAUGCAAGUCGAACGGUAACAGGCCUUCGGGUGCUGACGAGUGGCGAACGGGUGCGUAAUGCAUCGGAACGUGCCCAGAGGUGGGGGAUAACGCAGCGAAAGCUGUGCUAAUACCGCAUGUGAUCUGAGGAUGAAAGCGGGGGACCAGGCAGCAAUGUUUGGCCUCGCGCCUUUGGAGCGGCCGAUGUCAGAUUAGGUAGUUGGUGGGGUAAAGGCCUACCAAGCCGACGAUCUGUAGCUGGUCUGAGAGGACGACCAGCCACACUGGGACUGAGACACGGCCCAGACUCCUACGGGAGGCAGCAGUGGGGAAUUUUGGACAAUGGGCGCAAGCCUGAUCCAGCAAUGCCGCGUGCGGGAAGAAGGCCUUCGGGUUGUAAACCGCUUUUGUACGGAACGAAAAGGCACUGGCUAAUACCUGGGGCUGAUGACGGUACCGUAAGAAUAAGCACCGGCUAACUACGUG
rnacentral:rRNA from 1 species